AAGGGUGCGUAACGCGUGAGCAACUUGCCCGUUUCUGGGGGAAUAACCGGUGGAAACGCCGACUAAUACCCCCAUAGCAUAACGAAGAGGCAUCUUUUUGUUAUUAAGAAAUUCGGAAACGGAUAGGCUCGCGUGACAUUAGCUAGAUGGCGGGGUAACGGCCCACCGAUGGCGACGAUGUCUAGGGGUUCUGAGAGGAAGGUCCCCCACACUGGAACUGAGACACGGUCCAGACUCCUACGGGAGGCAGCAGUGAGGAAUAUUGGUCCAAUGGUCUAACGACUGAACCAGCCAUGCCGCGUGAAGGUCACGGCCCUAUGGGUCUUAAACUUCUUUUGUAAGGGAGCAAUAAGGUCUCACGUGUGGGAUGAUGAGAGUACCUUACGAAUAAGCAUCGGCUAACUCCGUG
rnacentral:rRNA from 1 species